rnacentral:lncRNA from 1 species
AACAACACCUGCCAGGCAGGCAGCAUAGUUGGUCAGCAUGUAGAAAUUCCCCUUUUUGACUGCUCUGACAUCUAAAGGUGUUCCCACUACUUUCUCCACAGAUGAGCAGUCACUUGGUGCCAUGACAGGCAAUGAGCACUCAGCUGAAACAUGAUGUGCUGAUUGCCAUGGCAGACCUUAUUGCUCACAGCCUCCAUCACUGGUGCAUCCUGUGGAGAAGGUUCAAUCGCCAGCUAUCCUCCGGCAGGAGGAGGGCUGCCGUUCUCCCUGGGGCCUGAGGAGCAGGCUGCCAUUUAGGGACUGUGGGAGGACCUCUUUAUUCAUAUUGAAGUGGUGCCUGCCGGCACGUAAGACAAGAAAUAUCCAUAAUAAAUGAAUACCAUGAAGUCAGCUUAGUUAGCAUGACUGGCAGGAUCCUCCCCACUGUCAAGAGUAUGCAACAAGCCUUGCAUCACCCACAGAGAUUUGCAACAAGAAGCCAUGCAGAACUUUGUGCCAAGGCAGAGGAGGCAGCCAGCAUUUCUGCAUCCCAGGUGGGUGGGCACCAUGACUGGCUGGCGGGGAGACAUGAAGCUCUGCUUGGCUUCCCUGCUGCACUGGUUGGCAAGACCCUGGGAGCCGGCUGUGCUGUGACACGAGUGCCGUUGUCACCAUGGCAGUGAGCAGACACAAACAAGGCAAAGUGCAUAUUAGAUAAACUGCUGGAGAUGGAAGGAAAAGAAAAAAGAAAAAAAAAAAGAAGUGUCAGGCACAUAACCCCUUAUUCUGGCUGUUGUUUUUUUCUCCCCAACAACAUUUCUGUAAAUAUAGUACUGUCUGAAGUGUAAAUCUCUUCUAGACAGAGAUUUGAUGUGCAACAUUUCCUGGACAGUAAGAUAAACUAAAAAAGCAUAGCAAUCUCAUUGCAAAUCCCACUAUAGCUGAGUUAGUUAGCUAUGUUAGAAAGCUUACUCUGAGUCAUAUUUUAGAAGAAAUCGUUUAAUCUGAAAUAAAGCAUCUUAUUUAAGGUGAUGAUAACA